rnacentral:lncRNA from 1 species
CAUUCAACAGAGCCAUUAAGAAGCACCUUAAAAAGCAGCAGGGUUGUUUAGAGGUCAGCUCUGCUCUUGAGUACAGUCAUUUCCUCCCUUAAGUUGAAUCCCACUCAAGUCCCGUUGCUCUUGGCUGUGUGCUUGUCUUGGGUGUCUGGCGACUGCCUUUCAGGACCUCCACAGGCAGAGGCAGUGUCCCAAAGCAUACCCUAUCCCUUAUACUUCAUGUUUAAAAACAUAUAGCCAGGCAAGAACAAAUUCUUAUUUACAAUGACAGCCAACCGGGGAACAGUGGGUUAACUCAGGGGCAGAACGGCAGAUUUUUACCUUGUGAUCCAGCAACCUUUCGGGUUACUGGUCCAACACUCUAGGAUACCUGCCGCCCCGUAUAUAGUGCAAUACCUUUGACCAGAGCCCAUAGUGCACUAUUUGAUGUAUUUUACCUUUAUUUAACCAGGCAAGUCAGUUAAGAACAAAUUCUUAUUUUCAAUGACGGCCUAGGAACAGUGGGUUAACUGCCUGUUCAGGGGCAGAACGACAGAUUUGUACCUUGUAAGCUCGGGGGUUUGAACUUGCAACCUUCCGGUUACUAGUCCAACGCUCUAACCACUAGGCUACCCCGCCGCCCCACUAUAUUGGGAAUAGGGUGCCAUUUGAGACACACAUCCUUAGUGUUGGGAAUUCUAACCGUGAUUAACAAUGUCUCCUCCUCCUGUUGUUUCCAGCCGACACAUAGGCCACGUCAUGGCGCUCCCUGGCAGGUCCCAGGGUGUAGCCAGCGCCAGCGCCCCCACCACCCCUGUACACCGCUCCCAGGGUGUUGCCAGCGCCCCCACCACCCCUGUACACCGCACCUUUGCCACCUCAGGGGCACCACAGCUGGACUCCAAGUCUGACAGACCUUCUCUGGGGAGCUUGUUGUCCUCCUCCUACAGACAACACCAGGAGUCUCUGACUGCAGAGAGAGAGAGGAGGAGACAAGAGAGGGAGGAACGACUGCAGAAAAUCGAGAGGGAGGAGAGGACCCGCUUCAAGUGAGUCCCAACCUGCAUCACAUCACACUACUCAUAGAUGGAAUUGUCCUUUUGACGUUUACAUU